rnacentral:rRNA from 1 species
CAGUAGCCGCGGUAAUACAGAGGGUGCGAGCGUUAAUCGGAUUUACUGGGCGUAAAGCGUGCGUAGGCGGCUAAUUGAGUCGGAUGUGAAAUCCCCGAGCUUAACUUGGGAAUUGCAUUCGAUACUGGUUAGCUAGAGUGUGGGAGAGGAUGGUAGAAUUCCAGGUGUAGCGGUGAAAUGCGUAGAGAUCUGGAGGAAUACCGAUGGCGAAGGCAGCCAUCUGGCCUAACACUGACGCUGAGGUACGAAAGCAUGGGGAGCAAACAGGAUUAGAGACCCGUGUAGUCCCUGUCUCUUAUAA